UGUGCACAGGUGUCUAAAUGCUGGAUAGUAAGUUACCUAUUUCUCGAAGGAAAAGCUUUCACAAACUUGUUUGAACUCUUAAUGAAAGUGGUCAGCCUGGGUCUGAUGGAAUGAUCUGAUAAAUGUACGGUUUGAUGCAUUGUUUAUUUCUACAGAAUUUAAUGCACUUGUGGGUGGCAGAAGUGAGUGUAAGGUGACUUAUGGCCAUACAUUUUCUUGUAUUGCUGAUUGUGUAUGCAUCUAUCAGUUAAUGUAGCCUAGGUUUGAUGGAAAUAAUGUUAAAUAGUAUUACUAAUAUUUGUGAACAGUUUUACAUGAUUGGGGAUAGAUUAUAAUUUUGUUAAGUUAAAAUUCAUACAAAUAAAUCUAGCAUAUUUUAAGAAUUUCAAUUAGAAAAAUUGUUUCUGCAUCAAGAAAUACUUCUGUCAGACAAGUAAUUGAGCCAGAAAUCUAAAAAUUAAAUAUAUUUUGACAUUCAUUACCAUUAUGAUUUUCUUUUUAGUUUGUUUCAAUGUAACACUUUCUUAAAGGGGAUACAAUUCUUUAUUUACUAAUUGCUGACAUUUAGGUCUGUAGUUUUGAAAUCUCUAGGUGUAAAUGUCUCAUUUUGAAGGCUGAGAGUAAAAGUUGGUAGCCAUAAUUCAUUGGUACCCUAAGUUUAUUUGUCAAGGUUUAAAAAAACAAACAAUUAGUUUGAUAUAUAUUACUAGGGUCUGCAGACAAGGUAAGGAAUCAACUUUUACCAUCAUUUGUUAUGUUCAAUCACUCUUUCAUCAUCAUGUGCUCAAUUUUUUUUUAUUGUAUUUUUUCAUAUUGUGAAAAUUAUGAAUUUUGUGAAUAAUUAUUUUUUGUUUACUACUGAAAUAAAUUUUGAACUACUUCA